ensembl:lncRNA
UCGGUGUGAGGACAGGGAGGAGAGGAGACGGUGUGAGGACAGGGAGGAGAGGGUGUGAGGACAGGGAAGAGACGGUGUGAGGACAGGGAGGAGACGGUGUGAGGACAGGGAGGAGACGGUGUGGGGACAGAGAGGAGAGGAGACGGUGUGAGGACAGAGAGGAGACGAGACGGUGUGAGGACAGGGAGGAGACGGUGUGAGGACAGGGAGGAGACGGUGUGGGGACAGAGAGGAGAGGAGACGGUGUGAGGACAGAGAGGAGACGGUGUGAGGACAGAGAAGAGACGGUGUGAGGACAGGGAAGAGACGGUGUGAGGACAGGGAGGAGAGGAGACGGUGUGAGGACAGGGAGGAGAGGAGACGGUGUGAGGACAGGGAGGAGACGGUGUGAGGACAGAGAGGAGACGGUGUGAGGACAGGGAAGAGACGGUGUGGGGACAGGGAGGAGAGGAGACGGUGUGAGGACAGAGAGGAGACGGUACGGUGUGAGGACAGAGGAGACGGUGUGAGGACAGAGAGGAGACGGUGUGAGGACAGGGAGGAGAGGAGACGGUGUGAGGACAGAGAGGAGACGGUGUGAGGACAGAGGAG